AUUGAACGCUGGCGGCAUGCUUUACACAUGCAAGUCGAACGGUAACAGGCCGCAAGGUGCUGACGAGUGGCGAACGGGUGAGUAAUGCAUCGGAACGUGCCCAGUCGUGGGGGAUAACGCAGCGAAAGCUGCGCUAAUACCGCAUACGAUCUAUGGAUGAAAGCGGGGGACCGUAAGGCCUCGCGCGAUUGGAGCGGCCGAUGUCAGAUUAGGUAGUUGGUGGGGUAAAGGCUCACCAAGCCAACGAUCUGUAGCUGGUCUGAGAGGACGACCAGCCCCACUGGGACGGAGACACGGCCCAGACUCGUACGGGAGGCAGCAGUGGGGAAUUUUGGACAAUGGGCGCAAGCCUGAUCCAGCAAUGCCGCGUGCAGGAAGAAGGCCUUCGGGUUGUAAACUGCUUUUGUACGGAACGAAACGGUCCUGGUUAAUACCCGGGGCUAAUGACGGUACCGUAAGAAUAAGCACCGGCUAACUACGUGCCAGCCGCCGCCGUAAGAC
rnacentral:rRNA from 1 species